AGGGGUGUAGCUCAGUGGUAAAGCGUGUGCUUAGCAUGCACAAGGCCCUUGGUUCAAUUUUCAGUAUCUCCC
rfam:Ictidomys tridecemlineatus contig010839, whole genome shotgun sequence.